AAUGGGCGCAAGCCUGAUGCAGCCAUGCCGCGUGUAUGAAGAAGGCCUUCGGGUUGUAAAGUACUUUCAGCAGUGAGGAAGGUGGGUAUGUUAAUAGCAUACUCAUUUGACGUUAGCUGCAGAAGAAGCACCGGCUAACUCCGUGCCCAGCAGCCGCGGUAAUACGGAAGGGUGCGAGCGUUAAUCGGAAUUACUGGGCGUAAAAGCGCAUGCAGGUGGUUUGUUAAGUCAGAUGUGAAAGCCCGGGGCUCAACCUCGGAAUUGCAUUUGAAAACUGGACAAACUAGAGUACUGUAGAGGGGGUAGAAUUUCAGGUGUAGCGGUGAAAUGCGUAGAGAUCUGAAGGAAUACCGGUGGCGAAGGCGGCCCCCUGGACAGAUACUGACACUCAGAUGCGAAAGCGUGGGGAGCAAACAGGAUUAGAUACCCUGGUAG
rnacentral:rRNA from 1 species